CAACUUGGUUGAAAAAUGGCCACCCUUGGAUUCUGGCUUCUUCACGUCUCCCGUGUGUGAGGCGAACGGGAACUUCUCGGUGACGAGUCGGCUGAUGGUCCCUUAUGGUGAAUGGUACAACAGUGCGGUCUAUACCUGCCAGGUCACUCAUGGAGAGAACACUCAAAGUAAAAACAUCACCGCACUCCAGGAAGAUACCGAGUGCCACCCUAACACCGUUAAAAUCCUCCCACCGCCAGUAGAACAAGUCUUACUGGAGGCGACGGUGACGUUAACUUACGUUGUGUCCAAUCUUCCUUCUGGAGUCAAUGUGACCUGGAGACAAGAAAAGAAGCCUCUGAAAUCAGAGAUUGCUGAGCAGCCUGGACAGAAUCCCGACAGCGUGAUCAGCAAAUUAGACAUUUCUACUGAAGCCUGGCUGAGUGGCGUUACUUUUGAAUGUGUGGUGUACCAUCAGAAUCUACCGACUCCACUGAGAGACUCCAUCCACAAGGAGAAAGGUGAGCGGUGAGAUUAAAACACAAAG